rnacentral:rRNA from 1 species
UACGUAGGGACCAAGCGUUGUUCGGAUUUACUGGGCGUAAAGGGCGCGUAGGCGGCUUAACAAGUCACUUGUGAAAUCUCCGGGCUUAACUCGGAACGGCCAAGUGAAACUGUCAAGCUAGAGUGCAGAAGGGGCAAUCGGAAUUCUUGGUGUAGCGGUGAAAUGCGUAGAUAUCAAGAGGAACACCUGAGGUGAAGACGGGUUGCUGGGCUGACACUGACGCUGAGGCGCGAAAGCAGGGGAGCAAACGGG